rnacentral:tRNA from 1 species
GCCAUGGUAGCGCAAUGGUUAAGACAUCAGCUGCUAACUGAAAGGCUGGUGGUUUGAAUCCACCCAAUAGCU